rnacentral:lncRNA from 1 species
AUGGCUGCCAGUCCAGUGCCGCUGCACAAGAUGGCCGCUGACCCAGCGCCACUGCACAGGAUGGCCGCCAACCCAGCACCACGAGGCAAGAUGGAAGUCAGCCCAACACCACAGCACAAGAUGGCCGUCAACCCAGCGCCACGAGGCAAGAUGGACGCCAGCACAGCGCCACAGCACAAAGGGGUCACCAGCCCAGCGCCACGGUGCAAGAUGGCCGCCAGCUCAGCGCCAACGCCCAAGAUGAACGCUGAGACAUUUUUGGAUUAUUUCUCCAUGCUGUCAAAGAUCCUAGAGAUUCCCAGGAGUGUUCACGUCACGUCUGCUGAUCCAGAGACUGUUCACAUCACGUCUGCUGAACCAGCACCACAAUACAAGAUGGCCACCAACCUAGCGCCACUGCACAAGGUGGCCGCCAGCCCAGAGCCACUGCAGAGGAUGGCAGCUACAGUGGGUUUUCCUGAGUCGAAUCAUAUUCCCGUAGACCCUCCAGAGUUGAGUCAGGUUCCCGUUGGCCCUCCAGAGUUGAGUCAGGUUCCCGUUGACCCUCCAGAGUUGAGUCAGGUUCCCGUUGACCCUCCAGAGUUGAGUCAGGUUCCUGUUGACCCUCCAGAGUCGAGUCAUAUUCCCGUUGACCCUCCAGAGUCGAGUCAGGUUCCUGUUGCCCCUCCAGAAUCAAGUCACAUUCCAGUUGAUUCUCCAGAAUCAAGUCAGGUUCCCGUUGGCCCUCCAGAGUUGAGUCAGGUUCCCGUUGACCCUCCAGAGUUGAGUCAGGUUCCCGUUGACCCUCCAGAGUUGAGUCAGGUUCCUGUUGACCCUCCAGAGUCGAGUCAUAUUCCCGUUGACCCUCCAGAGUCUAGUCAGGUUCCUGUUGACCCUCCAGAAUCAAGUCACAUUCCAGUUGAUUCUCGAGAAUCAAGACAGAUUCCUGUUGACCUUCCAGAGUCAAGUCAGGUGCAUGUUGACUUUCCAGAGUUGAGUCCGGUUCCAGUUGACCCUCCAAAGUUGAGUCAGGUGCUCAUGGACCCUCCAGAGUCGGGUUAG